rnacentral:rRNA from 1 species
GUUUGAUCCUGGCUCAGAUUGAACGCUGGCGGCGUGCCUAACACAUGCAAGUCGAGCGGUAACAGGUGUAGCAAUACAUGCUGACGAGCGGCGGACGGGUGAGUAACGCUUGGGAAUCUGCCUGAUAGUGGGGGACAACCCGGGGAAACUCGGGCUAAUACCGCAUACGCACUACGGUGGAAAGCCGGGGACCGCAAGGCCUGGCGCUAACAGAUGAGCCCAAGUCGGAUUAGCUAGUUGGUAGGGUAACGGCCUACCAAGGCGACGAUCCGUAACUGGUCUGAGAGGACGACCAGUCACACCGGAACUGAGACACGGUCCGGACUCCUACGGGAGGCAGCAGUGGGGAAUAUUGGACAAUGGGCGAAAGCCUGAUCCAGCGACGCCGCGUGGGUGAAGAAGGCCUGCGGGUUGUAAAGCCCUUUCGGUGGGGAAGAAAAGCCUCGAGUUAACACCUCGGGGUCUUGACGUAACCCAUAGAAGAAGCACCGGCUAACUCUGUGCCAGCAGCCGCGGUAAUACAGAGGGUGCGAGCGUUAAUCGGAAUUACUGGGCGUAAAGCGCGCGUAGGCGGCUUUGCAAGUCGGGUGUGAAAUCCCCAGGCUUAACCUGGGAACUGCAUUCGAGACUGCAUUGCUAGAGUAUGGGAGAGGGAAGUGGAAUUUCCGGUGUAGCGGUGAAAUGCGUAGAUAUCGGAAGGAACAUCAGUGGCGAAAGCGACUUCCUGGACCAAUACUGACGCUCAUGUGCGAAAGCGUGGGGAGUAAACAGGAUUAGAUACCCUGGUAGUCCACGCCAUAAACGAUGAGAACUGGAUGUCGGGAGGGUCUGCCUCUCGGUGUCGUAGCUAACGCGUUAAGUUCUCCGCCUGGGGAGUACG